rnacentral:rRNA from 1 species
UUAGUGGACGGACGGUAGUAACGCGUGGAAAACCUGCCGUAUACUGGGGGAUAACACUUAGAAAUAGGUGCUAAUACCGCAUAAGCGCACAGCUUCGCAUGAAGCGGUGUGAAAAACUCUGGUGGUAUACGAUGGUUCCGCGUCUGAUUAGCUAGUUGGUGGGGUAAUGGCCUACCAAGGCAACGAUCAGUAGCCGGCCUGAGAGGGUGAACGGCCACAUUGGGACUGAGACACGGCCCAAACUCCUACGGGAGGCAGCAG